rnacentral:rRNA from 1 species
AGUCGAACGAGCGAGAGAGAGCUUGCUUUCUCGAGCGAGUGGCGAACGGGUGAGUAACGCGUGAGGAACCUGCCUCAAAGAGGGGGACAACAGUUGGAAACGACUGCUAAUACCGCAUAAGCCCACGGGUCGGCAUCGACCAGAGGGAAAAGGAGCAAUCCGCUUUGAGAUGGCCUCGCGUCCGAUUAGCUAGUUGGUGAGGUAAUGGCCCACCAAGGCGACGAUCGGUAGCCGGACUGAGAGGUUGAACGGCCACAUUGGGACUGAGACACGGCCCAGACUCCUACGGGAGGCAGCAGUGGGGAAUAUUGCACAAUGGGGGAAACCCUGAUGCAGCGACGCCGCGUGGAGGAAGAAGGUCUUCGGAUUGUAAACUCCUGUUGUUGGGGAAAAUAAUGACGGUACCCAACAAGGAAGUGACGGCUAACUACGUGCCAGCAGCCGCGGUAAAACGUAGGUCACAAGCGUUGUCCGGAAUUACUGGGUGUAA